UACAGCUACACCAAAAGGCAGAACGCUCUGUAGAUACAGGAUCACUUUCAGUCAAUGCAUCUCAAAGCUCAAGUUGGGAAAAUGCUGCUUUUAUUUCCAAUUGUUUUCCUUUCAACCAUCUUUGGGGGUGCCCAAACAGAGGUUCGGCUGGAGGAGUCUGGAGGAGAUGUCAAAAGGCCUGGGGAGUCUACCCGCCUUUCCUGUCAAGCCUCUGAGUUCACCUUUGGCAGAUACUGGAUGAGCUGGGUGAAAAAGGCUCCUGGGAAGGGCGUCGAAUGGGUGGGAGAAAUACAGCCAGAUUCAACUAGCAUUACUUACUUGGAUAAAUUCAAAGGACGAUUCACCAUCUCCAGGGACAAUUCAAACAGCUUGUUGUAUCUGCAAAUGUACAACUUGAAACCUGAGGACACGGCUGUGUAUUACUGUGCAAGACGCACAGUGAGAGGAAGUGAAUCUGAAGGCAGGCAAAAACCGCCCUCUGCUUAUGGUAGCUAAGAUCAUUCAGCUGCAAGAGACCGGAGAAAACUACAGUGGUACCUCGGAAGUUGAACGGAAUUCGUUCCGGAAGUCUGUUCGACUUUCAAAACGUUUGGAAACCAACACAUGGCUUCCAACUGGCUGCAGGAAGCUCCCACAGGCAAUUGGAAGUCGUUGAAGCCCCGUUGGAUGUUUGGCUUCCAAAGAACGUUCACAAACCGGGGCACUCACUUCCGGGUUUGCAGCUUUCAGAAGCAAAAACUUUCGACUCAAGAUGUCCUGGAUCCAAGGUACGACUGUAUUCUGAGACAAGUUUGAUCUUGUCUUUUCUUGGGUUCCCAUUCAGAAAGAGAUAUCCACCCACUGAUACAGCUGUAAAUGUGUGGACUGUCCUUAGUCAAGUUACAAUGGACAUACUAGGUCAGGGGCAAAUCCUGUCAUCAUGAUGAUGCUCUUCUUUCAGACUGGGCAUCUGAAUGCCAUCAAGAAUGACAAUUCUCACGUCUCAUGUCUCUGCUUUCUAUGUUUCCCUUUUCACAACCUACUUUUCUGAAACACAAAGGUGCAGAACACUCUCACAAUGCUUUUCA